rnacentral:rRNA from 1 species
AGUGAACGCUGGCGGUAGGCCUAACACAUGCAAGUCGAACGGCAGCACAGUAAGAGCUUGCUCUUACGGGUGGCGAGUGGCGGACGGGUGAGGAAUACAUCGGAAUCUACUUUUUCGUGGGGGAUAACGUAGGGAAACUUACGCUAAUACCGCAUACGACCUACGGGUGAAAGCAGGGGAUCUUCGGACCUUUCGCGAUUGAAUGAGCCGAUGUCGGAUUAGCUAGUUGGCGGGGUAAAGGCCCACCAAGGCGACGAUCCGUAGCUGGUCUGAGAGGAUGAUCGGCCACACUGGAACUGAGACACGGUCCAGACUCCUACGGGAGGCAGCAGUGGGGAAUAUUGGACAAUGGGCGCAAGCAUGAUCCAGCCAUACCGAGUGGGUGAAGGAGGCGUUCGGGUUGUAAAGCCCUUUUGUUGGGAAAGAAAAGCAGCAGGUUAAUACCCCGCUGUUCUGACGGUACCCAAAGAAUGAGCACCGGCUAACUUCGUG